AAAAGAUUUUUACGUGCCCUGGAUUAGUCCAGAUGCCCAAACCCUAGAAUGUUUUUGUACUGGGGUGAAGCAUAGAGAUAAGCGGGGUGUGAAAGAGAUUCUGCCACCGAAGAAUCUCAUAUCACAUUAAUCAAGAAAAAAAUUCAAAAUUUUUCUUUACUUGUUUGUCUUUGAAUGAAUGAAAAUGGGAACCAUUUUGAUCCAUUGAUGCUCAAUCUGUUUUCCUUCAAUUGCUUCCAUUCAUUUUCGUUUUUGGAGAUUUGGUGAAGUUUUGUUUACAGAUGGUGAUAUUCUGAAAAAUCUGUCCUUUUCUUCAUGGGUGCCCAGUCACCCACCACCAAGACUACCAGCAGAUCUUGAAGCCAUAAAUUUAUUAUUAUUUUUUUAACAUUUAUACAACUACUAUAUAUAAUAUUUAUACACAGACAAAAAUUCACUAUGUUAUCGCCCACCCAUUUCUCCACUUGUUUCAUGGAGCAGAAAUAAUCCCAUUCUUGAAACUCUUACCAACUCCUCCUCUGCCUUUUGCUUUCCUCUCUCUGCUGGUUUAGCUACAGAAAGAGGAAAAAGAACACUUCUUUUUCUUGUAUAUUACAUUCAUGGAACGUGCAAGGCGGCUGGCUAACAGGGCUAUCCUAAAGCGGCUAGUGAAUGAAUCCAAGCAAGGCAACCACCAGGGCCGCAAUGAGUCUUCAACUCUGUUGAACUCUUCGUCUCCUGUACUGUACACUCCUUCGAGGUAUGUCUCAUCUUUGUCAUCUUUUGCUUCUAGAAAUCCCAGAUCAGGGAUGUUGCUAGGAGGCAAAAAUAUUGUAUCCCAUAAUGCUGCUGCUGCUGGUUAUUAUUUUGUUGGGUCACAAGUUCGAUCCAUAUCUGUUGAGUCUUUGAAACCCAGUGAUACUUUUCCUCGCCGUCAUAACUCUGCCACACCGGAGGAGCAAACUAAAAUGGCUGAGUUAUGUGGCUUUGAUAAUCUUGAUUCGUUGAUAGAUGCAACUGUGCCUAAAUCUAUUAGAAUUGAUUCAAUGAAGUUCUCAAAGUUCGAUGAAGGGCUAACUGAGAGCCAAAUGAUUGAGCACAUGAAAAAAUUGGCAUCAAAGAACAAGGUUUUUAAGUCAUAUAUAGGGAUGGGGUAUUAUAACACACUUGUGCCACCUGUUAUUUUGAGAAAUAUAAUGGAGAAUCCGGCUUGGUACACACAAUACACACCUUACCAAGCUGAGAUAUCUCAGGGGAGGUUGGAGUCCUUGCUUAAUUAUCAAACCAUGAUUACGGAUCUCACUGGAUUGCCCAUGUCAAAUGCUUCAUUGCUCGAUGAAGGGACUGCUGCUGCUGAGGCUAUGGCUAUGUGUAAUAAUAUCCUAAAAGGGAAGAAAAAGACUUUUAUUAUUGCUAGCAAUUGUCACCCACAAACUAUUGAUAUCUGUAAAACUAGAGCUGAAGGUUUUGACCUGAAGGUAGUUACCAUGGAUCUUAAGGAUAUCAAUUAUAAAUGUGGGGAUGUUUGUGGGGUUUUGGUUCAGUAUCCCGGGACUGAGGGUGAAAUUUUGGAUUAUGAGAAGUUUAUUAAGAACGCUCAUGCUAAUGGGGUUAAGGUUGUUAUGUCAACGGAUUUAUUGGCACUAACAAUGUUGAAGCCUCCUGGUGAAUUGGGGGCAGAUAUUGUUGUUGGAUCUUCUCAGAGGUUUGGUGUUCCCAUGGGAUAUGGAGGUCCUCAUGCCGCAUUCUUGGCUACCUCACAAGAGUACAAGAGGUUGAUGCCUGGAAGAAUUAUUGGCGUUAGUGUUGAUUCUUCUGGGAAGCCUGCUCUGCGUAUGGCGAUGCAAACCAGGGAGCAGCAUAUUCGCAGGGACAAGGCUACCAGUAACAUCUGCACUGCUCAAGCCUUGCUUGCAAACAUGGCUGCUAUGUAUGCUGUCUAUCAUGGACCUGAAGGCCUUAAAGCCAUCGCACAAAGGGUUCAUGGUCUUGCUGGAGCCUUUGCUCUUGGACUGAAGAAACUGGGAACAGUGGAAGUCCAGGGCCUUCCCUUCUUUGACACUGUAAAAGUUAAGGGUGUUAAUGCACAUGCAGUAACUGAUGCUGCAUACAAAAGUGAGAUAAACUUGCGAGUCGUAGACGCAAAUACUAUCACUGUUUCCUUUGAUGAAACAACAACCCUGGAGGAUGUUGAUAAACUUUUCAAAGUUUUUGCCAGUGGCAAGCCUGUCCCAUUCACUGCUGCAUCUCUGGCAUCAGAAGUUCAGAAUGCAAUCCCUGGUGAACUAAAAAGGGAUAGCCCAUUCCUGACCCACACAAUCUUUAACACGUACCAUACAGAGCAUGAGCUGCUCAGGUAUAUCCAUAGGUUACAGUCGAAGGAUCUAUCUUUGUGCCACAGCAUGAUUCCACUGGGAUCUUGUACAAUGAAACUGAAUGCAACAUCUGAAAUGAUGCCAGUAACAUGGCCUAACUUUACUGACAUUCACCCUUUUGCUCCUACUGAACAGGCUGAGGGUUAUCAGGAAAUGUUCAAUGACCUGGGCGAAUUAUUGUGUACCAUUACUGGAUUUGACUCAUUCUCAUUGCAACCAAAUGCUGGUGCUGCUGGAGAGUAUACUGGGCUGAUGGUUAUUCGUGCAUAUCAUAAGUCAAGAGGGGAUCAUCAUCGCAAUGUGUGCAUUAUACCUGUUUCAGCACAUGGGACAAAUCCUGCUAGUGCUGCCAUGUGUGGAAUGAAGAUUGUUGCUGUUGGAACUGAUGCGAAGGGAAACAUUAACAUUGAAGAGCUUCGGAAGGCUGCUGAGGCCAAUAAGGACAACCUAUCAGCACUUAUGGUUACAUAUCCUUCCACUCAUGGAGUUUAUGAAGAAGGUAUUGAUGAGAUAUGUAAGAUAAUUCACGACAAUGGAGGUCAAGUAUAUAUGGAUGGGGCUAACAUGAACGCACAGGUGGGUCUGACAAGUCCUGGUUUUAUUGGAGCUGAUGUUUGCCAUCUCAAUCUCCAUAAAACAUUUUGCAUUCCACAUGGAGGUGGUGGCCCUGGCAUGGGUCCUAUUGGUGUGAAGAAACACUUGGCACCAUUUCUACCUUCACAUCCUGUGGUAUCUACGGGUGGCAUACCAGCCGCUGAUAAAACUCAGCCAUUGGGAACCAUUGCAGCAGCACCAUGGGGCUCUGCACUUAUCUUGCCGAUAUCUUAUACUUAUAUAGCAAUGAUGGGUUCUAAAGGAUUGAUGGAAGCUUCGAAGAUUGCCAUCUUGAACGCAAACUACAUGGCAAAGCGUUUGGAGAAUUACUACCCCGUUCUUUUCCGUGGUGUAAAUGGAACAGUUGCCCAUGAAUUCAUUGUGGACUUGAGAGGCUUUAAGAAUACUGCUGGGAUUGAGCCAGAGGAUGUUGCCAAACGUCUCAUGGACUAUGGAUUUCAUGCACCAACAAUGUCAUGGCCUGUUCCAGGCACCCUUAUGAUUGAACCCACUGAAAGUGAAAGCAAGGCUGAGUUGGACAGAUUCUGUGAUACACUCAUCUCCAUUAGGGAGGAAAUUGCACAGAUUGAGAAAGGAAAAGCUGAUAUCCACCACAACGUCCUAAAGGGAGCUCCUCAUCCACCAUCUUUGCUAAUGGCAGAUGCAUGGACAAAACCAUAUUCUCGGGAAUAUGCAGCCUUCCCUGCUUCUUGGCUCCGGGUUGCGAAGUUCUGGCCUAGUACAGGACGCGUGGACAAUGUGUAUGGUGACCGCAACCUUAUCUGCACCCUUCUUCCAGCAUCACAGUAUGUGGAAGAACAGGCAGCAGCUACUGCUUAAUCUGCAUAUAUGUGUUCCUCCUUGUGAUGCUGCCUUAUGAACAGAAAGUCAAAGAAUCAUCACUUUUACUUGUUUGUAUGUAAGUUUUCCAUAUGCAUAUGCUCAUUGCUGCUGGAACCAUUCAUUUAUCAAUGUACUGAUAAUCUGCUGCCUUUAAUAACAAUUGUUGCUAAUUGCAACAAUUAACUUCUGUAAUUAUCGUUGCUAUUCAUCUCUCCCCCUCCGCUGUCAGCUCGCUUGCAAUUAUGUAUAUGUCAUGUCUGAUCAAAAGGCAAAAGCAUUUAGCAUUUAAAAACCUUGUAAAAAAAAUCAUAAUAAAAUUCCUUCUAGAACUUGCAGGCAACGAACAAUGUGUUGUGCAUAUUGGUCAUGAAAGCUUAUUGUUUUUAUUAUCCUGUCAUAUUUUAUUGAUUGUCUACCUUCAAUCCCUGCAACUAGAAAAGUUUGUUUCAUGGAAAUUGUCUUCCAUUCUUGGGGCAGUGGGAGGGAACCCUACUUCCUCUUUCAUUCUUUCUAUUUUUUUGUUACUCGAUCGAUGUGUAUUUCAUUACUUAGAAAAGGCUAGAGGCCCAAUUACAUGCGACACGUUCAUGCCAAACAAUCAGGGAAAACAGCUAGAGGGGCCCAUCUCUAUCUCAGAAAAGCCUAGCCCACUAUGACAGAAACCCUAAACAGAGAAGGGAAAAGGAAAUCCAGCAAGAAACUGCAGCAAACCAACUCAAUCUUCUUAGUAAACGCUAGUGGGAGAUCAAAGGACUUAUUGAAGCACGACAUACAAAAGGACCCUUUCUCUGAAAGCCAACAUGAUCAACAGAUUUAGCACAAGGAAGGAUCUAAAAACAUAAACAAUACUCACAUUAAACCCCUCUUCCUGUUUCUGCUGGCUGCACUCCAAAGCUAAAACAAUAUCUACAAACUCACCUGAAGAGCAGAGGAAACGCACAAUCAGGUAAGAAGAAAAGACACCUUCCCCUGUCCAGAGGGGCAAAGGAAGACCAUCUACUACGACAAACAGAAAGGGCCUAAUACCCUAAAAAGAAAGUUAAAGGAAGACAUACUACUUUCCUUUCUUUUCUUCUAUGCACCCAUAGAAAAUUAGUUAAGUAUUAUUUUAAGUACACCCUACCAUGAUUUUACAUAAAAUCAUUAGUGUAUAUUGAUUGAUUUGAUGUAUACACUUGAUUGUAGAUAAGAUUUACUCGUU
rnacentral:misc_RNA from 1 species